rnacentral:rRNA from 1 species
UGAUCAUGGCUCAGAUUGAACGCUGGCGGCAGGCCUAACACAUGCAAGUCGAGCGGAAACGAGUUAUCUGAACCUUCGGGGAACGAUAACGGCGUCGAGCGGCGGACGGGUGAGUAAUGCCUAGGAAAUUGCCCUGAUGUGGGGGAUAACCAUUGGAAACGAUGGCUAAUACCGCAUAAUGCCUACGGGCCAAAGAGGGGGACCUUCGGGCCUCUCGCGUCAGGAUAUGCCUAGGUGGGAUUAGCUAGUUGGUGAGGUAAUGGCUCACCAAGGCGACGAUCCCUAGCUGGUCUGAGAGGAUGAUCAGCCACACUGGAACUGAGACACGGUCCAGACUCCUACGGGAGGCAGCAGUGGGGAAUAUUGCACAAUGGGCGCAAGCCUGAUGCAGCCAUGCCGCGUGUGUGAAGAAGGCCUUCGGGUUGUAAAGCACUUUCAGUCGUGAGGAAGGUAGUGUAGUUAAUAGCUGCAUUAUUGACGUAGC